AGGCGUAUAUGGUUUUAGUAGCAAGAACAAUUGUUGUUAGUUACCACCAAGAACAGCAAAAAUGGGGUCCAUUGAAUUACCAAUAAGUACACGGCACGUGAAGUGUACGAGCAAUUAGGAAAUGUAGGGUAGUAUUGUGUUUAUCGUUCAAUUUCAUUGACAUGCAAGUUGGGUUGGGUCACGUAAUUGCAUGGUGAGGAGCAUAGCUUAUUCUCAACUUGCUGCAUCUGGACGUUUUCUGGAAUCAAAGUUUAUGUUAAGAGAGAGGG
rnacentral:lncRNA from 1 species